GUUUCCUUAUCUCCAGCACAGCCACCAACACCUGCCAUGCCCUUGCUGGGAUGGUGGUUAACUACGUAUCUCUGCAUCAUAGAAACUGGUGGCAGGUGACUUGCUGGGGUUGCUCAGCCGUUUCCCGAAAGGCCCCCCUUGGCCGGUCUCCUUGGUUCUCCGCAGCCGAGUCCUCCCUGACCGCCCAGCUUCUGGUCCACUAAGGGUGGUUGCCCUGAGGCUGGUGACCACCUGCUUGCCGUCCCUUGGGACAAGUGGGGACUCAGGCCGCAGUGUACAUGCUGUGUCUGAGAAAGGCCAAGGGAAAGCAGCCCGCGUGGAUUGUUUGGGCUGCCGCAGAGCCUCCAGCCACGGGGGCCUUUCCCACACAGGAGGGAGCUUCAUCUGUCUGGAAUGUUUUAGGGCAGCAGGGCCUAUCCCAUCCUCCCUGGGCAGAUGAAGCUCAUCUUCCCUAAGGCCUGGGCCCCACUCUGGGCUCCAUGAGCUCUGCAGAGCGUAGAGCACUGCUCAUGGCCUUGACCGCCUUGAAUCAGUUUCUUUCUCCAGGUAUGUGUUUUCUUUCUUUGACUCCCCUGAAGGCGAGGACCACGUCCCAUGUGGCAUCCACAUGACACCACGGUGCUGGGUGCUUCUCUCUCCUGAGGCCUUGCGGUACUUGGGUGGCCGCCUCUCAGGGGAAAGCAGAGCUUGAGAGGAUGGGUCACAGGACGGGAGGUGCUGACAAAACCACUAAGGGCCUGGAGUUUGGGGUGCCACCUAAGGAAGGUGGUCUCCACCGGGGGGACAGGGCAGUGACCUCAGUGCCAGGGCCAGCCAGAGAACUACGAUGGCCUGGACUAUGCUGGGGCAUAAAGGAGAGGAAGACAAUCGACUUACUUCCAAGCUUGGUAGAGUGCCAUCCCUGGAGCCCUCCAGAUGUCCCCUGUCUCUGUGUCAGGGUGCGGUCCCGCCAGGACUGCGAACUUGCACCGGGAUCUGCUGCGUGCAGCUUUGGAGCAGGGUGAGAGGAGGGGGCAGGGCUCCGGAGGGUGCUCCUCCCUGCAGCCCCUCUGCCCUCUCCUCUCCCUCUCGGAUGUGUACACCCACACUGGCUCACCUGGCUUUCCGGGAAGGCAAGGAAUGCUGAGCUUCUCUUCCUGAGUCUCCCAGAACGGGGGAGCUCUGGGCUAGGAGGGGGACCAGAGCUCCUGUACCUCAUUGGCAUCACAUUUUCCUGUUUGUUUCUUCACCUUUUCUACCUACUGCGUCCAGCCCUGGCUUUCCACCUUGCUCAGCCAGCGUCUCCGUGGGUCUGUCCGCCAUGUGAGGCAAAGAUCAGAACCCAUCUCCCUCCUGCCGAAUGCACAGAUGGCAGCUUCCAUCCUCGCCUGGGUAAACGCUCCAAUAUUUCUCUAGGAACACACCAGCCUUUCCAACCUGGGGAUUCCAGCUUCGGCAAGCCGAGCCAACACCUGCGGCCUGCCUGGGCCGGCCAGGGUAGAAACAGAGAGAGGAAAGGUGUGCAGCAGUCCGGAAGGCAAAGGCUUUUGACAAGAAAGCAGGGCACAUACCACAGCGCAAGAACGGCCGGCUGCAGGGGAGCCUGCUGCGGCGCAGGGAUGGGGCAGAGAGGGCGGACGUGUAACACCCUGAACUGAGAAUGGAGGGCGAGGAUGAGCACAUGGAUGUACUUUAUGCAACCAGCCGACGUAUCUGGAGUGUUCAGAUUGCUAUAUAUGAGUUAGAUGGUUCCACCUAUUUAAAAACUGUGAGAUCACAACCCAGAUCUGAGACAUUGUCCUUUAGGAGUCACAAGAAGAAUAUGGGGAGCUGUGAGAUGACAACGGAGCAUAAUAAAAGGUCCUGGGGAGGGCUCGUGGUGUAAAGGAAGGUGGGGAAGGUACAUGUUGUCUGUGGAAGAUUCAGUGUCAUCUCGUGGAAUCAGUUGAUCACUUCCCAGUGAAAGUCAGUAGAGAAACAGAAAAAAAUCACAUAAUCAACUUUAUUGGGACACAUCUAGUGUAGAAAAAUGUCAAAGUGUGUGUGUCAUGACAACCACAAAAUCUUGGUUGGUUACUGUUACCACAGUAACAAGGUAAUUUUGCAUUUCUACUACAUGUCCUUUGUGAGUUGGCUGUAGACUGCUCCGUUGUUUUCAUUCCUGGGCUGAGAGAGUGACAUUGGGACCCCUGGAUCUGGGACACUCACGGUUUCAUAGCAGAGGGAAAAGAGAGCAACAUGCUGAAUCACUCACUAAUUCUUACAACUUCCAUCUGGAAGUGACACCUGUCACUUCUGCUCACGUUUCAUUGGCUAAAGGAAGUCAUAUGGCCAAACCUACACUCCCCUGGGGCAGGGAAAUGUAAUCCUCCUCCAACGAACAAUAAUACAGUCUACCACCCAAGGAUCGAUGCAGUCAGUUCUGCCUGAGGCCAUGAGAGCCUAAAUUCUUGGGAGAAACAGAGACCUCAAAAUCCAGUUGGUGGACAAUUGUUUUGGGAUGGAGUCACAAACAAGUAUAAGAAUAGAAUAUAAGCUUCAUGAGGAAAGAGUCUUGGUUAAUUUUAUUCACUGGUGUAUCCCAAGGGCCUAGAACAGACCCUUCAAUAUAUAUUUGUAGCUGAAUGAAUUAUAAAUGGGUUUAGGAGGCAAUUUGAUCCUUCCUGCCUCAGCCAAGGAGUAUCUGUGUUCCAUCCCCUGAUGCCUUUGGGUGUGGAGGUAGACGCACAUUGAGAGAACCUGUAGCUCCCUGAUGAAACCAGGGACCUCAGCUUCUGCUUUGGGGUGCAGUUUUUGGCCCCUGCUUUGGUCUACCCCUGAGGUCAGCAAACCUUUUCUGUAAAAGGGAGAUAUUAAAUAUUUUAGGCUUUGCAGGCCAUAUGGUCACAACUUCUCAAGGCUGUUGUAGAACGAAAGCGGCCAUACAUAACAUGUGAACGAAUGAAUGUGGCUACUAAUGUUCCAAUAAAACUUCAUUUAUAGAAGCAGGCAGUGUCCGGAACUGCCGGUUCACCCUGGUGAGCCCACCUCAGCCCCGUCACAAGGCUGGCGCUCAAGCUCUCGCUUUCCCCAUGUCCUGUUCAGGACCAUUUUACUGUCAUAGUUUUCUCAACCUCAUCUUCAUAAAAUUAAAUGCCACAAUAUAGUA